GGAUGGUUGACUGAGUGGCUUAAGGUGUAAUAUUUGAGCUAUUAUUAGUUUUAAUAAACUACGUAGGUUCAAAUCCUACACCAUCCG
rnacentral:tRNA from 1 species